AAGAAACUUCUUUAACCACCCCACCCACCAACCCCACCCCACCCCUACCCCACCCUUUUCUCUUCUUGAUUCCUAAAAGAAACCAACUUCACUGUUCACAACAACUCCCCCCAACAAAAGAAACAGCACAGCAAAGCAACAGUUAUACAGCAAAAGUAUACACUAUAUAUAUAUAUGAUACAAAUGGAUGUAGAGUGGGAAAAAGGAGACAAAGGGGUUAUAAAGGCCAGUAAAGAAGGACAAAUGAGAAGGAAAUGGAGACAAGAAGACAUGGUUAAUGAUGAGAAUAAUGGUGGUCAGUUUUGGUUGACGCUUUUUGUCGAACAGGUGGAGUGCGAAAUUGGGUUUUAGUACUGGAUCCUAUGAGGAAUGUGGCUUUGGGUUAUGUGAGGUCUAUGCCAAAAAAAUAAAAAUAAUUUCGAAAUAAAGUUUGAGAUUAAUUUUAGUUUACUAUGUUUGUACUAGUUAUUAUUUGUAAUAAAAUGAUGAAAUUACUAUUUAUAUGAAGAAUAGAGUAAAAAUUAAAAUAUUGUGAUA